rnacentral:rRNA from 1 species
CAGUCGCCACGGGAAUACGUAGGGUGCAAGCGUUAAUCGGAAUUACUGGGCGUAAAGCGUGCGCAGGCGGUUAUAUAAGUCAGAUGUGAAAUCCCCGGGCUCAACCUGGGAACUGCAUUUGAGACUGUAUGGCUAGAGUGUGUCAGAGGGGGGUAGAAUUCCACGUGUAGCAGUGAAAUACGUAGAGAUGUGGAGGAAUACCGAUGGCGAAGGCAGCCCCCUGGGACGAGACUGACGCUCAUGCACGAAAGCGUGGGGAGCAAACAGGAUUAGAUACCCCCGUAGUCCCUGUCUCUUAUAA